GUCCACGCAGUAAACGAUGAUCACUAGAUGUCGGGUUGUAAAACUCGGUGUCGAAGCUAACGCGUUAAGUGAUCCGCCUGGGAAGUACGGUCGCAAGAUUAAAACUCAAAGGAAUUGACGGGGGCCCGCACAAGCGGUGGAACAUGUGGUUUAAUUCGACACUACGCGAGGAACCUUACCUGGGUUUGAAAUGCUAAUGACAGUCUCUGAAAGGAGAUCUCUUGGGGUAACCCGGCAUUAGCACAGGUGCUGCAUGGCUGUCGU
rnacentral:rRNA from 1 species